AGAGGCUGCCCCUACUUUUUUUUUUUCCCUCCUCCCUCCUCCCUCUCCCCCUCCCUCUUCCCUCCUCUCUUUUUUCUGAAUGGAUGUCCUCUCCCUAACCUCAAUUGAAGCUGUGUAACAGGACACUGCCCUCCGCCGCUGCAGGCUCAGCCCCCUCUUUAACUGCCACACUAUAAGAGAGUGCAGCGUCGGCCGCUGAGUGUGUGUGAGAGAGUAUGUCCGACAGUGUCAGUCAGGGGGCUGAGGGAGAGGAAGGGAGGGCGAAGGGUGAGAGAGAGAGAGAGAGGGAGGGAGAGAGGGAGACUUGCUGUGGAAACAUGUGACAGCGCUACGUUAGCGAGGCUUACAGGGAGUUUAAUGGCUGUAGUGUCUCUGGGAAAGCACCUUUAGCCCAGAGGGAGCCGCACACACUGUCUCUGUGUGUGUGUGUGAGAGAGAGAGAGAGAGAGUGUGUGAGGGAGAGAGAGAGAGAGAGAGAGAGUGUGAGGGAGAGAGAGAGAGAGAGCUGCUGCUGUCACUUUAAGCCUGUUACUGAUUACACUCAGAAGAAUGCAACGGGAGGAGGAAGAGAAGAAAGAGAUGAGGAGACAUAGUUAAAGUUGAAGGAGAACCCGGAAUCCCUCUCGUGAAGCGAGGGACAGAGCUAAACGGACACCCCUAAGACAUGGAGGACAAACUUUUUUAAGAGAGAGAGAGAGAGAGAGAGGUGGGGGGGUUCCCUGAUUCCUAACUCAGUGCCGGGAGGAAACACUACUCUUCUACUCUCACCCAGACGGGUAAGUAAGAAAGAACGAAAGGAAGAAAAAAAGAGAGAGAGAAAGUGGAGCUGCUGCUGCUGUUGAUGGAUUUCAUAUGUUACAAGUUAAGGUUGAGAAACGGCUCCCAGAGCGUUCACAGGCGGAGCGGCGCCGAGAGGAGGACGAGCAGGUUUAGGCUCGGAGGAGGAGGAGGAGGAUGUUCUGAGUGUGAAUGGUUACAGGAGAGCCGGUUCACGCUCCCUCCGUCCAAUCGUGUGUCACACCUCUUACAUUACUACGGCCAGGGUGAGACGGGAAACGCGGCGUGUGGCGUGUGCUGUCGUCAGUGCCGUAAUUAUAUACCUGACACCGUCUCAUGGCGCCGGAGCCGUGUGAUAAAAAUAGAUCUUUGAAGCUAAUAGGCUUCUUUUUUUGCUUUCUUCAUACACAGAGAGAGAGAGCACUUCCUCUCUGCCUCAGUCAUGCCGCCCCCUCCCCCCUUCAUUUUGACACAGAUAGCACAGGGUGUGUGAGUGUGAGUGUGUGUGUGUGUGUGUGUGUGUGUGUGUGUGUGUGGGGUGGGGGGUGAUACAGUAUCGUACAGCACAGUGUGGCUUCUUUAUGAAUGGACAUGGCAGCCGGCUGAUGUGAUUGGCCGUGAGAGGAGUGACGACUGAUGAUGAGCUGCAGAGGUUUAGAUUGGUUCUGCCCUUUUGCUGUCGCCGCUGCCGCCGCUACCAUCUCUCCUGGUUACCACCUCUUAAAGCGAUGCAGCGUGUGUAUAUGUAUCAGUGUGUGUGUGUGUGUGUGUGUGUGUGUGUGUGAGAGACAUACAGAGAGAGAGAGUGUUUGUGGGGUUGUGUGAAUCAGUGCUAGUGGUUCUGGGUUACAUGUGUUUGUCUAAGGGGGCUUAGUCACAGGCUGAACAGUGGGGCGUGUGUGUGUGUGUGUGUGUGUGUGUGUGUGUGUGUGUGUGUGUGUGUGUCCUGACUUUUAAAAGUUGUGGCUCUCAGCCCAGCUGUUGUUCUUCAAAUUAUCUCCCACUCUCUCUGACUAAGACGUCUCUCUCUCUCAUGCUCUCAUUACUCUUACUCACCCGUCAUGUAAUAAGAGGGCAGGUCUCCAGCACGAUGUCAUAAUAAUAAUAAUUAUUAUUAUUAUUAUUAUAAAAAUGUUUCUUGCUGAAUCACCCGAGACAUUCAUUUUUCCUGUUUAACAAUUUAAAUAUUAUAAAAAGGAAGUGACACUGUAGAUUUUGUUAAGAUGCUGAGAUGUGUGUGUGUGUGUGUUGCAUCUAUCUGUCUAAAGUGUGUGUGUGUGUGUUGCAUCUAUCUGUCUAAAGUGUGUGUGUGUGUGUGUGUGUGUGACAGAGAGAGAGUGAGGAGUGGUGAUAAGGAGCCGGCUGUAAACCGUCCCGUUGGAGCGCAGGGAUCUGUGAGCGCUUAUCAAGGCGGUGUUUCCGGCAUGAGAGUGUGAUAGCGGGCAGAUUGUCGGCGAGAUGCGUCGCAGGUAUCUUGAUGAGGGAGAUUAAAUUCCUCGGUGGAGAUUAGCGUGGAAUCUGGCCUCGGCCUUAUCAGCGUGCCUACAGACUGAACCCUGCCCCGUCCUACUUGGCAGGAAGCAGCUGAGCGGACCAACCGCACCGCUGCCGCCAAACGCCAUGUCUGAAAAGUUCAACAUUGGAUUAUUAGGCAAUUAUCAUAUUUUAGUAAAAUGUACAAUAGUAUAAAUAGUAGAUCAGAUCAUAAUAUUACCUGAUUUUAUUUUGUUUUUUCUGGUUAAUUUAAAGCUCCAUAUUUUCUUCUUCUUCUGUGUUUUAUUUGAAGUGUUGAUCCAUCAGAAGAUAUAAAAACCAUCUCAGUGUAGUUUAACAUCUCCUCUCUCAGGCUUCUCUCUGGAGCUCUAGUAACAACAGGUCAGUGAACCAAUCAGAAGAGAGGAGGCUCUGAGCCUCUCUUCUGAUUGGCUGACUGUUUUCUGAGUGAUCCAAUAAAUAUACAGCAGAUUUCAGAUAAAAGACUCGGAGAAAUCAAAUCCUGCAAAGUUUGGAUGGUGGGUCCAGGUGGGCGGGGCUUGGUGACUGCUUUGUUGUGACAUCACAAAGUUCCAGAAGUCCUGACGGCUGGUUUUAAGGCUCAGUUUCUGAAUACAGGCUGUGUGCAUUAAAAUGAAAACCAUCUUACUGAUGGAUGUAGUGAUUAUUCAGUGAUGUGUGAAGUCAGUCCGGCAGCGGCUCAGCUACAGCAGUAAAGGUGGAGUGCAGGUGGUGGUCAUGUGCUGAAUGUCCAGUCAUGUCUUCAGGUGGAGCUCUGCUUAAGGAAAGUGGCAGGUGAUUCACUGAGGUGGGAAAAGUUAAAGGGAGUGAAGCUGUAAAUCAUCAGCGGUAGGAUUUAGUUGUUGGCUGUAUUAGAAACACACACACACACACAGAGGCUGGUGUCAGGAGGUAAGACGUUGUGACACACUGUAGUCGUUCCAACAUCGGCGGCGUUAUGUAACUGAAAGUGGGUUAAGCGGCGUUGAGAACAAUCUUAACUAUCACUCGACUCGCUCCUUCUUUUCUUCUCCUCACUUUCCUUUUCGCAUGAGUCGUCUUUGUUUACACAGCAACAGGUCGCUCACACGGCGUCUGUCAUUCACGGCCAGAUUGUGGAGUUAAGAGCUCGGCAGCGCGACUCAGACGUCACGGAGGCUGAACGCAGUUUGGUUUAUGUGCACAACAGCAGAAGCCCGUUAGAGCACCUGUGUGCGUGUGUGUGUGCGUGUGCGUGUGUGUGUGUGCGUGUGUGUGUGUGCAUGUUUUUUUUUUUUUUUCCUGUGUGCUCAAGAGCGCUCGUUCCAACGGUGUACUAACCACACACCUGGCCUGUUUCCUCCUCUGCUCAUAUAUGGGCAAAGCUUCCCCUACCUGGGCCCCACUCUGAAUUCCAAUAAGUGGCUGUGUGUGUGUGUGUGUGUGUGUGUGUGUGUGUGUGUGUGUGUGUGUGUGUGUGUGUGUGUGUGUGUGUGUGUGUGUGUGCGAGGAAGAGGCUGUAGAGACGGAUGCACGUCAUGGAAAACCAGGAUCAAUGGGCAAGGCCAGCAGAGCUGCGUUUUUAAGGUGUUCCUUUUGUUUUCCAAAGGUAAUCAGUUGACACAAUGAGUCAGCUGAUUAUUCCGAGCGGCUGCAGUCGGAGGACGUCAGUCAGGAGCUGCGUUCAUGUCGCUGUCGUACAAGUCGAACCAAAUCCCCGUGAUUCCUGCGGAUCAGCCGGAUUAUUAAAUCAGGAAUCGAGUUCUUGAUUAAAGGAUCUGAUGGUUAAAGCAGAAACGAUAUUCAGCCACUUUGACAUCUGGUGCUGACACCUCCUGUCACUGAGUUAGCCCCCCCCCCCCCCGUUUAUCAGUGAGUGUGUUAGCGUUCAGGGUGGAGGCCGUUCAGGUAUCAGCAGCCAGGUCGUGGCGCUCUCAAACAGAGCGGACAUUAUAACGUUGCGGCCUUGUGUUGGGGCUAAUGAAGCAGAUUUAUGGCUGUUUGCCGGGGGGGUGCAACGCUAGUCCGGCUUAAACCCUGUGACCCCCACAAAGAACAAGACGGGGGGGGGGGCAGAGGACAUAGGACUAUCCCUCUAACCCUCCUCGUACUUUAUGUUUCUGUUUCUUCCCUCCUCCACUGCCUCCUUUCUCUGCUCUCUGCACGUUUGCCAGGCCUUCAUAAAGCAGCUCGAGGAGGGAGUUAGCUUUCCUUGGUCAUCUUGCCAGCUCUUUCCCAUCAGUCCAGCCCCCUGGAAGAGCCUGCAGACACCCCUCUCUCUAGGCCUGGGGCUGAGCCUGGGGCUGGGGCUGGGGUACGGGCCGAGCGUUUCGAGGCUGGGGCUCCCUCUGGAGAAGCUCUUUGGCUGCGGCGUCUCAGGCCUGGAUUCAGUCUGCGGCUCCGACCCGCAGCGCCCGAAGGAACCUUGCUUUACACGUGAAAGCCUGUUUCAUCUCCUCCGUUUAUAAUAAGGAUAGAAAGUGAGAGGGGGAGAGAGGGAGAGAGAGAGAGGGGUGGGGGGUGCGACUUCAGCAGUCUGUCUGGCAGCGGCCGUCCGCUGGAUAGCGAGGGAACAUUCUGGGACAGGGAAUGGCGUUGGAUGGCGAACAGAGGUGGCAGGGAAGACUGAGCUUCCAUAACCUCUGUCUCCACGGAAUCUGAGCUAUUGGCUCCCUCUCUUUGGUUGGAUGCUUUCGCUCGCCCCAUCACAACCAAUCAGACUCCCAGGCCGGGGUCUAAUGGAACCUGGGGAGCUGAGACCCGGUAUCUGAUUGGCCGCCGGCCCCCGUGGAACGACUGCGAAAUUGGUGGCAAUCUGCUGGAGAGAGCUGCAUUGUGGGGCUUGUCUCAUCUUGCAGACCGGGCGUGUGGUUGCGUCAGUGAGACCGUGCUGAUUGGUGCAAACUGUGAUCGUCCAUUUUCAUUUAAUGAAGCCGGUGAAACCUGCAGACAAUGAGCUGCAGGAUUCAUGUGGUGAAAACAAACCAGGCGUUUCCCUGAGAACACAAACCUUUUAUUUCAACACGUGCGCGUCCUCAACCUGCUGUAUUCCCUGCAUGAACACAGCAGCCAUGUCUUCAUGUCAUGAGAGAAAGUGAAGCAGAAAUGUGUUGGAGAUUUUCGUCCAGUUCUUGUUAUUCCAAAAUAAACGCUGAUACGUUUCCUGAUGGGUUUCUUUUUUUUUUUGUAAGAAUAACUGAAGAUAAGAAGCGACGAGCUGGAACACUGAGGGACUUUAAAGAUGGAGCCAGGCCCAUACUGUACACACACACACACACACACACACACACACACUGAGACAUGGAGGGAGAGGGAAUGCAUCCACACCCAGCUCACACAUCCUACACACCCACCCACGCACACAUGCCCACACAUACUUGAGCAACAAACAGCACAUGCACAUAACCAGUGAACCAACGUCGCUUACUGCAGAAGUGCAACUUGUGUUUGCACAAACACACACACACAUACACACACCACACACACACACACACACACACACACAUACUUGUACAGUGGUCACCCCCUACUUUGAGGCUAAGGCAGGGUAAUGAUUCAGUUCCUCUUUGCUUCCCUCAGAAUGUGUGUGUGUGUGUGUGUGUGUGUGUGUGUGUGUGUGUGUGUACUCAUCUGUGUGUAUAUUUGCUCUAUAUGUGUGCACAGUUGUCACUUUGUGAAUGUGUGUGUGUGUGUGUGUGUGUGAGUGAAUGUGGAUGUGGUCAGGCCCAGUCAUCUUCCAGGCAGCUCAGAGGAAAGCCACAUCAACUGCCAUACACCACACUCUAGGAAUAGACUUGCCCAGUGCAGGCAGGAAUGGAAUGGCACGCCUGGCCUCACCCCUCCUCACACCGCCGCCUCACCCAUCCUCAGCCGCUCACCCCCUUUCCUACAUCCACCUUCCUCACCCUCCAGCCGUCUGCACCCUUCACUCACUCACUCACUCUCUCACUCACUCACUCACUCUCUCAUCACUCACUCACUCACUCACUCACUCACUCACUCACUCACUCACUCGCUCACUCACUCAUUCAUUCAUUCUUUUCUGUUACUUCCUCCUUUCUCACAUGACGCUCUACUUUCUGUCACCACUGACCCGAGGAAGGCUACAGACAGACAGAUGUGUGUGUGUGUGUGUGUGUGUGUGUGUGUGUGUGUGUGUGUGAUGAGUUUUGUGUCUCUCCUUUAAACCAGUAUCAUCUCCAGCGCAGUGAUGAUCCCUCACUGGCUUCCCACUGGUGAACACCACCUAUAAUUAAACCUGGAGUGUCUCCUGCGGUCCUUCGUUUCUCCGCUCCCCCGCUGUGAUGUGUGUUUAAAAAUACACCAGCUGGUAUCACUUCAGUCAAAUGAAGGGGGGGGUUUUGAAGCUGUGAGAGAGUUUCACUUCUUCCGUCGGCCUCUGACCUCGUCCACGUUCGUGUCUCACUCGACCCAAACGCUUCGCUUUGAGUGGAACAAAAAGAAUUUAGGAAUCCGACCUGUUGGUGUGUGUUUGAGCUGUUCAGCUGCUGCAGGAGGAGGCGGAGCUAACGGCUCCUGUUAAUGUCACACUUGUUCUUCUAGUCUUAUCUUCUCCCCGGGACUCCUGACCUCACCUGGCUCUUCUUCUGUCUUUGCAGGUUCCGCACAGAUUCCUCCCUCCUGUUCCCGCUGCCGCUCCCCGCAGAGGUGGACUCAGCUGUGUCUACGGAAGUGCGUCGCCUUCCUUCCCGCCCCGGGCGUGACCGGACCCGGCGGCGGGGGCCCUGGCGCUCCGCGGCUCUCUGGCCGCUGUCAGUUGCUCAGUAGGCAGUGUAGAUCCUGUGUAGCAAUCAGCAGCUACAUCUGGCUACUGGGUCUCCGACGGCUCGGCCUACUUCCCGGUCGAGCGUGCCCGCUCCCUCUCCCAUUGGCCGGUGGCACAUUCCUUCCCCCUGAUUGGCUGCGAUGUCAGGGGGGCUAGAUCCUGUGACCCCCACAGACAGGAUGUUCUCUGUGUCACAACUCCACAAGGGGCCCUUUCAAGGUUUUUUUGUGUGUUUUUUUUUUCACUCCUUCCUCUUCCGCCAUUCUUCUUUUUAAUUCUGUGUUUCUGUCUCUCUCUCUCUCUGUCUCUCUCUCUGUCUUUCUCUCUGUCUCUCUCUUUCUCUCUCUGUCUCUCUCUCUCGCUCCCUCUCUCCCUCUCUCUCUCUCUCCCUCUCUCUCUGCCUCUCGCUCUCUCUCUCCCUCUCUCUCUCUCCCUCUCUCUCUCUGUCUCUCUCUCUG